rnacentral:rRNA from 1 species
GACGAACGCUGGCGGCGCGCUUAACACAUGCAGGUCCAACGGAAAGGCCUGCUUUCCCUUGUGGAUUGCGGGUACUCGAGUGGCGAACGGGUGAGUAACACGUGAGUGAUCUGCCCCCAACUUGGGUAUAAGCCUGGGAAACUGGGUCUAAUUCCCGAUAGGACUGCAGGGUGGUGCCUGUGGUGGAAAACGAUUUUCUAGUGGUUGGGGAUGAGCUCGCGGCCUAUCAGCUUGUUGGUGGGGUAAUGGCCUACCAAGGCGGCGACGGGUAGCCGGCCUGAGAGGGUGGACGGCCACAUUGGGACUGAGAUACGGCCCAGACUCCUACGGGAGGCAGCAGUGGGGAAUAUUGCACAAUGGGCGGAAGCCUGAUGCAGCGACGCCGCGUGGGGGAUGACGGCCUUCGGGUUGUAAACUCCUUUCGACCGCGAGGAAGCCACCUGGUUGGAAGGGUGGUGACGGUAGUGGUAGAAGAAGCACCGGCUAACUACGUG